GUGGCUCAGUGGUAGAGUGCUCACCUAGCACGUGUGAGGCCCUGGGUUUGAUCCUCAGC
rnacentral:tRNA from 1 species